rnacentral:rRNA from 1 species
AUUGAACGCUGGCGGCAGGCCUAACACAUGCAAGUCGAACGCCCAGCAAUGGGAGUGGCGCACGGGUGCGUAACACGUGGGAAUAUACCCUUGACUACGGAACAACGUCGGGAAACUGACGCUAAUACCGUAUAAUGUCUUCGGACCAAAGAUUUAUCGGUCAAGGAUUAGCCCGCGCCUGAUUAGCUAGUUGGUGAGGUAAUGGCUCACCAAGGCAACGAUCAGUAGCUGGUCUGAGAGGAUGAUCAGCCACACUGGAACUGAGACACGGUCCAGACUCCUACGGGAGGCAGCAGUGAGGAAUAUUGGACAAUGGGCGCAAGCCUGAUCCAGCCAUGCCGCGUGAGUGAUGAAGGCCUUCGGGUUGUAAAGCUCUUUUAACUGUGAAGAUAAUGACGGUAGCAGUAGAAAAAGCCCCGGCUAAAUUCGUGCCAGCAGCCGCCGUAACAC